rnacentral:rRNA from 1 species
UACGAAGGGGGCUAGCGUUGUUCGGAAUUACUGGGCGUAAAGCGCACGUAGGCGGCUUUGCAAGUCAGAGGUGAAAGCCCGGGGCUCAACCCCGGAAUUGCCUUUGAGACUGCAUCGCUAGAAUUGUGGAGAGGUAAGUGGAAUUCCGAGUGUAGAGGUGAAAUUCGUAGAUAUUCGCAAGAACACCAGUGGCGAAGGCGGCUCACUGGCCCGAUACUGACGCUGAGGCACGAAAGCGUGGGGAGCAAACAGG